rfam:Arthrobacter sp. Leaf69 contig_4, whole genome shotgun sequence.
UAGAUACGACAGGGGAGCGCCGCCGUCGGGCAUCACCGGAGAAAUCCGGGGGAACCACAGGUGGGCGCUGAGAGUGCGGACAGCCGCAGACCCUCGAACCUGAUCCGGUUAGUACCGGCGCAAGGGAGUCGAGUUCUCAGAGUG